GAUGAACGCUGGCGGCGUGCCUAAUACAUGCAAGUCGAGCGAACAGACGAGGAGCUUGCUCCUCUGACGUUAGCGGCGGACGGGUGAGUAACACGUGGAUAACCUACCUAUAAGACUGGGAUAACUUCGGGAAACCGGAGCUAAUACCGGAUAAUAUAUUGAACCGCAUGGUUCAAUAGUGAAAGACGGUUUUGCUGUCACUUUUAGAUGGUUCCGCGCCGCAUUAGCUAGUUGGUAAGGUAACGGCUUACCAGGGCGACGAUGCGUAGCCGACCUGAGAGGGUGAUCGGCCACACUGGAACUGAGACACGGUCCAGACUCCUACGGGAGGCAGCAGUAGGGAAUCUUCCGCAAUGGGCGAAAGCCUGACGGAGCAACGCCGCGUGAGUGAUGAAGGUCUUCGGAUCGUAAAACUCUGUUAUUAGGGAAGAACAAAUGUGUAAGUAACUAUGCACGUCUUGACGGUACCUAAUCAGAAAGCCACGGCUAACUACGUG
rnacentral:rRNA from 1 species